rnacentral:rRNA from 1 species
AGCGAACACUGGCGGCAGGCCUAACACAUGCAAGUCGAACGAAGUCUUCGGACUUAGUGGCGGACGGGUGAGUAACACGUGGGAACGUGCCUUUAGGUUCGGAAUAACUCAGGGAAACUUGUGCUAAUACCGAAUGUGCCCUUCGGGGGAAAGAUUUAUCGCCUUUAGAGCGACCCGCGUCUGAUUAGCUAGUUGGUGAGGUAAAGGCUCACCAAGGCUACGAUCAGUAGCUGGUCUGAGAGGAUGACCAGCCACAUUGGGACUGAGACACGGCCCAAACUCCUACGGGAGGCAGCAGUGGGGAAUCUUGCGCAAUGGGCGAAAGCCUGACGCAGCCAUGCCGCGUGGAUGAUGAAGGUCUUAGGAUUGUAAAAUCCUUUCACCGGUGAAGAUAAUGACUGUAGCCGGAGAAGAAGCCCCGGCUAACUUCGUGCCAGCAGCCGCCGUAACAC